CUUGACCGCAGCACAUCCGUUUUCCUUACAGUAUGUAGUACGCAUUCUACCUUUUCCUACAAUGAAUCCACCAGCAGAAAUUCCUGUACACAUCUUAUCAACAAAGAAUUUGAACCUCAAAGAGUUCUGGUGCUGGUGAUUAUUAAGUUCUUCACACUUCUCUCAUAGUGGAGCUUAAGAUUCUCACUGUGUUACCUAGGCUGCAGUGCAGUGGUGCGAUCUCAACUCACUGCAACCUCUACCUCCUGGGUUCAAGCAAUUCUCCUGCCUCAGCCUCCCAAGUAGCUGGGAUUACAGAGCUCAUGGUUUUUAAACAACUUGUGGUAAAAAUCUGGUGGAAAAGAUAACAACAGUAUAUGAUAUGGCAGAGUUGCACAGAAGAAUCAGAACAUUGUUUUAGAGAAACGUUGGGCAAUUAAUUAAGCCAGCUGAUUAAGUUUUAAAGAAGCUAAACCAUAUCAUGUCGAAAUCAGAGGAGCGAUGAAAGUGUGAGUGGUGGUAUUUCUGCUGUUCUCCCCCCUGAAGGCUUCUGCGAUUAGCUUCUAUGCCUUCCUUCCCUUAUGGGCAUUCAGAUCCAAACUACUUGCAACUGUAGACAAGGAGGAAGAUGGAACUUGGAGAAGACAUACAGGCUGAAGAAAAAAAAAUAUUUUGGAAGUGAUCAGCACAUUCUAAUUGACCAUGGAUGCUCUCUGCAUUCAUGUGGUAACCCAGGGAGAGUAUGGAGUGAAAAGAGGAUCACCAAAGAAACUUGGGGAAUUACACACUAAUAGUGAAGAACAGGUGGCACCUGAAAUCACAGAAAAUUUAUUUGUCCUCAAUGCAAAGAUGAACUAUGAAGAGCACUUUAUUGCGUUUGAAGAAUAUAGGAAUGAUGAGUGAAAUGGUGAAGGAAGUGGAUAAACAAUGAUGUAACGACUGAGCGUCAUCUUGCAACUGAAUAAGCCAGUGAGGAACUUGGUAAAUUUGUUGAUUAUAUUUAGUUUUACAAUGUUUAAUUCUUUAUUAUUU